GACGAACGCUGGCGGCGUGCUUAACACAUGCGAGUCGAACGGAAAGGCCCUGCUUUUGUGGGGUGCUCGAGUGGCGAACGGGUGAGUAACACGUGAGUAACCUGCCCUUGACUUUGGGAUAACUUCAGGAAACUGGGGCUAAUACCGGAUAGGAGCUCCUGCUGCAUGGUGGGGGUUGGAAAGUUUCGGCGGUUGGGGAUGGACUCGCGGCUUAUCAGCUUGUUGGUGGGGUAGUGGCUUACCAAGGCUUUGACGGGUAGCCGGCCUGAGAGGGUGACCGGCCACAUUGGGACUGAGAUACGGCCCAGACUCCUACGGGAGGCAGCAGUGGGGAAUAUUGCACAAUGGGCGGAAGCCUGAUGCAGCAACGCCGCGUGCGGGAGGACGGCCUUCGGGUUGUAAACCGCUUUCGCCUGUGACGAAGCGUGAGUGACGGUAAUGGGUAAAGAAGCACCGGCUAACUACGU
rnacentral:rRNA from 1 species